UAGAACCUUUUACCAAAAAACGGGUUCCAUAUAGAACCCUUGGAAGGCAAAGAACCAUUUUUAUUAAAAUGGUUCUAUAAUUGUGACUGAAGUGUAAACUAAAGAUUACACAAUAAUUGCAGACCUACACAACUCAUUUACAAACCUACACAACUCAUUCACAAACCUUUUUGUGUCAAUAGGUUGUGGUCACAUAAAGAGAGAGUCAACAAAUAGGCUACUAAUAUUUAGUGUACACUGUAAAAAAUCCAACUAAUGAAAUGUUGGACGGGCAAAAAUAUAUAAGUUAAACCAAUUUUUUUGUUUGAGCUAGUUGAGAAGAUCUGUGUUUAAAAUAUUAAAUGAAUGGUUAUUUUCAAAUCCAGUCAAAAUUCAGAAUGGCUAGAGUUGACUGAACUAAUUAAGACAAAUCAGGUAAGUAUGUGGACUUAUGACAGCUAUGUUUCCUGACAACAAAAUGCUCAUAAUAUUACUGUUAUUUGGUCGCAAAAUGUAAUUGUAAGAGUUGUUCAGGCGUGAAUGUAUGUGCUUAAAGUUUAAAAAUGCGGUCGGUUAAUAAAGAUAGCGUCUAUUUAAAAAUGUGCUCGGACACUUUCGGACGUAGAUGAGCUCCAUAUUAGCUCCAGAAAAUCACAGACACUAAGCGCUCACACCCCGCCCAGCGCAGCCUCUCCUCGGCAAGCCCAUCAGACUGCUGGCUCUGAUAUCUCUGUGGCGUUUAAACAUGUGAUUUAAUUCAUUUUGAUUUCUCAUACUUAACAAUGAAAGGGUUAUGUUUUAAAUCAUAUUUUAUGAUUGCACUUAAUUGAUAUUGCUGUUGAGUGAUGUUUCAUAUCUUUUACAUUUGUUAUAACCGGACUGCAUGCGAAUUUGAACUUCAGAGCUGAAGAAGCGGGUGGAGAAAUAGUCCCAAUAUCAUAACAAUCUUAAAUAAAACUUCUAAAUAUGCCCGUGUGUGUACCCGUGUGUGUACCCGUGUGCGCGCGCGCGUGCGCGCGACCUGCGCGCGCGUGUGUAUGUACAGUAUGUGCAUGAGUUUUUAAUUUAAAAUGUCUUAACUUAACUCGGAAGGAUCUGAAUGACAGGUCAUUUCAUCUGAGAUCAUUCCGCAUGUAACAGCCGGAAUCACUCACUGUUUCCCACAAGGACACGAGUCAUCAGCCGUUUCCUCAAGGUCACGUUAGGUAAGUGUUUGUAAAUAAAUGUUAAUUUUAGACUAUAUUAAUUGGCAAAGACGCAAAUACUCGACGUUUUUGUAAACAUAUAAGUUAUAUAAAGGUGUGUUAUGUUAUGUGUCCGAGUUAAAGUGUGUGUUAUGUUAUGUGUCCGAGUUAAAGUGGAGCUAUUUUAGUUAAGAUAAUACCGGACAGGGUUUAGGACUCCGUCUUAAUUAUAAUUGGGACAUUUUUACAAACAAACCUUAUAAAAUACAAUACUAGUGUGCAUUUUGAGACAAAACAAUAGCACUCAUAUGUUAACAGAUGUCAGUAUUUUAGUCAGUGAUAAGUCCUGUCCGAGAAAACCGCCCAAUAGUGUUUAAUUCAAUUACGUGUGAUGUCUGAGGGAAACUUGGCAAUUUUAGGGUAUAAAAUCUUUCACCGUCAAGCUUUAUUAUAUUAAACAUGUUAUUUAUGUAUGUGUGUGUGUUUAUAUUCCUCUGUUUAUUAAACCAGAGGGGUGAUUAUGUGGAGAGGCAGACCAGACCACCACCAUACGCGAAGAUGAGCCUCGAGGCGUGACAGUUAUUUUUUCAAACUGACGAGUUCGGACUCCGGACCGUCAUUUCUGCUUGUUUGUACCCUGAGGUAAGUAAACUUUCUACAUUUUUGAAACGAUAUUACUGAAAUAUUUAGUAUAAUUAGUUAAUAUUUAUUUUGUUAGAGUAGGUCUUGUGCUAAAUAGUGAUACUAGAAGCUACAUUUAUAAUAUUUACCUCAGUUAAAAAAUACUGCUGGUAACGUUAAAGCACUGACGGGCUUCGUCAACCGUCAGUUAUAAAAGCUCUGUUAAAUACAUUUUGUUCCUGGUUUUAAUGAAUUACGUUACAGUCCUGCUUUAUUUCUUUGUCAUUUUCAAUUAAAUUGCCAAGCACAAUAAGACAGCUGUGUUGUAAGGAGACGAAAUUCGAGACAGGGGUGUUAUUUCAAUGAAGCGCGUGGUCAAAGGAACCGGGUGGAAGACGGUGGAAGGGAAAUUAUAUGUAAAUGUUUGUCGCUGUUUUACACAUAUUCCGUGAGUAUUGUUCGCUUGUUCACGAGUGUUUUAUCAGGGUUGGAGCUAAACCUUGAAGGAAAGUGGAAACUGCUGGCCACAGUUAAGAACUUUCUGCUGGUCUGUAUUAUAAAUGCACGAUUGCAGUGCAGCGUUUGUAUCCGCAAGUCUAGAUAUGCAUGUUUUCUGUGAUGCACACAAUUAAUUAAUGUGAUGGUAGCUGUUAAGACACUUACAUUUAACAUUCAAAUGUUUUAAAAACCAAACGUGUUCAGGUUUUUAUGUGUAUUUGGUUUGUGAAGUGUAAUUUUUUUUCCUCUCCCUCACAGAUAACCAUGGUUAAUAAAUGGUCAGACACGUCACUGGCUUUAAAAUAUAUACCCCAUUGAUGCAAAAAGAUGCUGCAUGGAAUGACAAUGUGGUUUGGAACAGACUUGGUGAAGAACAUGGAAACAUCUCUUAAUAAAAUGGCCCCAAACAUCAUCAGGAGUGCAAAAGAAGGAAGUAAAAACAUCUCUACGCCAAUCUCAUUGGAGAGGAAACCACAGAAGGUCUGGUGAGGAAUGCUGCACUUAUUGCAAGCAUUAUUUCAAGAAAAUCCCAGCUUCCUUGACUGUGUAAAUAGUGAACCCAAAGGUCCCACACCAACCAUAGUGUUCAACGGCUCUCCUGAUCUUUUCAAAUCUGAAUGUAUCAACUUUAUAAUGGACAAUGUGAACUUAAUAUGUGGAAGACAUUGACAUCACAGGCUGUGGAAUGACUGUGUCACAGGUCGGAGAAGCGGACCGCCCCUGUCGCGGAUCACGCUCCUCCUAGUUCCACCUCGAGGAGGUCCCAAAGCACCCCAAUGACCAGACAAACCAGAGGGGGAGUAUUACGGGGCCAGGGACGUUGGAGGGGUUUCCACGUGACUCCAGCUGGAACACCGCUACAGAGCGUAUCUGGGUGGGUUGGGCACACACCGUCGCGGCGGCCCCUGAUGGCAUCCACAAGGGUCCAAGACCCUCCUAAGCUCCUAGCCGUAGCAGAACUACGUAUUUCAGCACCCGAAGGACUAACAACCCAGCCGGCAUCUGCAGCGUAUAUCCAAUGCGAUCAAACUUCACUCUGACAAGUAACUUCCUAUACACAACCACGCCGUCCUUUCGCCCGGACCAGCCCCGCACUCUUUCCGCCUGCUACCUAGCGGUCGCCGGAUCAGCAGAGCCUGCGGACUCUUCAGAGGCUGGUCUUCGUUGUGCUGCCCAAGGCGGAAGUUGACUCGCCCGAAAAUCGACCCUUCCAGUAACUUCUACCUUCUCUCUUUAUAUCCUCCUCCCAGGCGUGGCUCGCCCAACCAUCGCUCGCCACGUCACUCACACAGCUGUGCCUUGUUUCAGCGAGUGCGGGGAUUCCCGGGGAACCCUGAAGUGCCGGUGUCUGUACAAACCGGUCCGGGCGGAACCUCUUCACUCUCCUUUUGGUUCCGCCCCGCAUAGUCACUCCGUGACAACUGUUUGCGUUUUUUUUUUCUCCUCAAUGUUCAAUACCCUUUUGCCAUUAAGCACACAGUGACUUUAAUUUAUAAAAUAUAUGCUUAAGUUUUAAUACCUGUACAAAACAAAUGUACAAUCAACUUGUGUAAAUUGUCAUUCUAUUUAAUAGAUUGUUCAUGAAUUGUCUUUAAAUGCAUUGUGAUUUCGGUAACACUUUACAAUAAAGUUCAUUAGUUAACAUUAGUUAAUGUAUUAACUAACUUGAACAAACCAUAAGCAAUACAUUUGUUACAGUAUUUAUUCAUCUUUGUUAAUGUUAGUUAAUAAAAAUGUAAGCUUUAAUUGCUUGUUCAUGUUAGUUCAGAGUGCAUUAACUAAUGUUAACAAGAUUUUAAUAAAGUAAUUGUUGAAAUUAACAUUAACAAAGAUUAAUAAAGGCUGUAUAAGUGCAGUUCAUUAUUAGUUCAUGUUAACUAAUGUAGCUAACUAAUGUUAACUAAUGAACCUUAUUGUAAAGUGUUACCGUGAUUUAUUUUCAUCAUUUCAGACACAUGUAAAAGUUACUAAAAAUUAAUACUGCAUAUACUGUACAGUAUCUAUGCGUAAGGGAAAUAACUUAAACAAAAUUUUUAAUGUAUAGUGUAAUUAAGAGUUUAGCUGUUUAAUACAGAGAUGCAAUUUAUUUAUAUAUAUUAUUUAUAUAUAAACGUAUGUAUGUUUAUUAAAAAGUGAAAAUGCUUAAUGGAAAUAAUUAAAUAACUAAAUGGUUGAAUGUAAUGAGACAUUUUAAAUGUAAACUAAAGUUUUGCUGUCUAAUACAGAAUAAAGAGAUGUGAUUUUAAGUAA